rnacentral:tRNA from 1 species
UGGCUUAGAUGGUAAAGAAUCUGCCUGCCAUGCAGGAGACCCAGGUUCAAUCCCUGG